ensembl:lncRNA
GAGCAAUAUUAAUUGCACACAGAGUAAGUAGAGAUUAUCUUGUUUCACAGAAGAGAAGGAAGACCAAGGAAAUUAUUUGUUCAGGAUGAGGAAUGAAGACGGCCUUCUUGUGCCCAAACAAAGACAGAAAGUCCACUGAUGAUCUCAUCAGUCAAGUGAGGGGUUUUGACCAAGUGAUGCUCUUGAAAGGAGUAAAAGAAGAGGAUGUGGUAAAUUGUCUUCAGAGAAAAAGUUUCUCAAAAGGUCUUAAGACAGCUUGAAGAAUGGUCUGGGAUCUGUCUGAAAAUGGGAUGUUAGGACUGAGAGAUCCUCUUUCUGAGAAAAAGCUAUACCACAUCACUGCUAGAUAUCAACCACAAACUGUUUACAGACAUGAGAAGAUCACAAUGGAGAAAUGAAACCAGUUUAGAUGUGAUGAUAAGGAAUCAUUAUUUUCUGAAACAGUAUCACAUGUCUUAUAUUUAUCACAUGAUCUGUAUCACAGUUGACUGGAUGGAAUUUUUUGACUUUUAACCACAUUUCAUUACUCAUUUGUGUGAACUGAUUAAUUUAUGAUAUUAAUGAAUUUUUGAUUAUCCAUUAUUAUUUUCCUUGAAUCUUAUUUGUCUUGAUGCUACUUUAUCAA